GUUAGACAGGACUCUGAACUGCAAUCCUGGUGGAAGGAAAUCCAAGAGAAGGGUCAUGGUGACAAGAAAGGUGAACUAUGGUGGCCCAGGAUGCAAACUUUUGAUGAGCUAAUUGAAACAUGCACUAUCAUCAUAUGGAUAGCUUCUGCUCUUCAUGCAGCCAUCAAUUUUGGACAAUAUCCUUACGGAGGUUACCUCCCCAACCGCCCAACCAUAAGUCGCAGGUUGAUGCCUGAAAAAGGUUCUGCUGAGUACAGGGAGCUUGAGACCAAUUUUGAAGAGGCUUUCUUCAAAACCAUCACUGCCAAGCCACAGGCACUUCUUGGUAUUUCCCUUGUAGAAAUCUUGUCAAUGCAUUCACCAGAUGAGGAAUAUCUUGGGCAGCGAACCCCUGGAUGGACUUCAGAUACAGAACCAUUGCAAGCAUUUAAGAAAUUUCAGGAGACACUGGAAGGAAUUGGGAAAAGAAUCUCGGACAGGAACAUAGAUACAAAAUUGAAGAACCGUAUUGGACCUGUCAAUAUGCCAUACACUCUGCUCUUUCCAACAAGCGAAGAAGGACUUACAGGAAAGGGCAUCCCCAACAGUAUUUCUAUUUAAAGCUACUCUGCAAGGCUUCUUGUUUUUACUGUUGCUUUAG
rnacentral:misc_RNA from 1 species